UACAGAGGGUGCAAGCGUUGUCCGGAUUUAUUGGGCGUAAAGAGCGUGUAGGCGGCCAAGCAGGUCAGCUGUGAAAACUCGAGGCUCAACCUCGAGACGUCGGUUGAAACCGCUUGGCUAGAGUCCGGAAGAGGAGAGUGGAAUUCCCGGUGUAGCGGUGAAAUGCGUAGAUAUCGGGAAGAACACCAGUGGCGAAGGCGGCUGCCUGGCCUGUAACUGACGCUGAGACGCGAAAGCGUGGGGAGCGAACCGG
rnacentral:rRNA from 1 species